rnacentral:rRNA from 1 species
CCUACGGGAGGCAGCAGUGGGGAAUAUUGCGCAAUGGGCGAAAGCCUGACGCAGCGACGCCGCGUGAGGGAUGAAGGCCUUCGGAUCGUAAACCUCUGUCAGCAGGGAAGAACGGUCACUGUGCUAAUCAGCAGUGAAUUGACGGUACCUGCAAAGGAAGCACCGGCUAACUCCGUGCCAGCAGCCGCGGUAAUACGGAGGGUGCGAGCGUUAAUCGGAAUUACUGGGCGUAAAGCGCUCGUAGGCGGUAUGUCAAGUCAAGGGUGAAAUCCCCGCGCUCAACGUGGGAACUGCCUUUGAAACUGGCAAACUGGAGUGUGUGAGAGGAUAGUGGAAUUCCAGGUGUAGGAGUGAAAUGCGUAGAUAUCUGGAGGAACAUCAGUGGCGAAGGCGACUAUCUGGCACAUAACUGACGCUGAGGAGCGAAAGCGUGGGUAGCAAACAGGAUUAGAUACCCUGGUAGUC